AGAGUGGACUUCAGCUGACUACAGCUAAGGUCUGAAACACAAGCCUCGCAGUGGUCCCAGUUUUACAGGGGAGGAAAGUGAGGUUCACCAGGGUUAAGUAACCUGCUAAGUUUUCAAAGCUGGCGACAGUUGCAGCUGGAAUUGGAAUUCAAGCUCUCGGACUCAAUGCUCGAUGUCAUCACCAUGCCUGUCAUUCCCAGGGCUGCCACGGGCUCUUAACAUGAUACGAGAAGGUGCCCAAGGAUCACCUAUUCUACAUGGCGUGAGAACAUUUCAGGGGUUUGUGCUCUUCCCAUCAAUCUCUCUUUCCCCUUGGCUCUUUCUUACCAGGCUCCAGGAUGAAAAACGAGGACGUUCCGACCUCGCAUAUUAAACCAUAACUAAUUAUUAUUAGAUCAGUUUUCACUUCUUCCCAGCCCAAACGUCAAAGGCAAAGAUCUUCAUUUCCUAGUUCCAGAAGGCCUUUAGCUAGGGCAAAAAGGUGGACCAGAAGAUCCAGGGAUGAACCGACUUCAACUGGCACCAAACCUAUAGAAGUAUAAAGGCUUUUUGGCUACUGAAAGUAAUGAAUUCCAGCCUUGUCGCCGGAACUGUCUGCAAAUGCUGUGAAUGUUGUUGAUGUUCCCUGAACCACGGAAAAAUGCCCACGGGGAAGCAGAAUCACUCUGAAUUCAGAUGUGAAACCACAUAAAAGCCACGCAUUGAGCACAUAGAGCCUCCAAAUUCCACAUCUGGAAGAGACUCCGGAGGGAACCUGUGAGGACCACAAACUCUUCAAAUCAUGGGUGAGGAAACCGAGUUUAUAGUGGCACAAGUCCACACACCUCCCAGCCUGAGCCUUCUAUCCCCUUGUCCAUCUGGGGAUCAUGCCCACCAUUUUGUCAUUACAGGGCUGGACAGAAAGUACAUGAAUAAAGACCAGGGGUUCUGA